rnacentral:rRNA from 1 species
AGCAGUAGCCGCGGUAAUACAGAGGAUGCAAGCGUUAUCCGGAUUUAUUGGGCGUAAAGCGCGUCUAGGUGGUUAUGUAAGUCUGAUGUGAAAAUGCAGGGCUCAACUCUGUAUUGCGUUGGAAACUGUGUAACUAGAGUACUGGAGAGGUAAGCGGAACUACAAGUGUAGAGGUGAAAUUCGUAGAUAUUUGUAGGAAUGCCGAUGGGGAAGCCAGCUUACUGGACAGAUACUGACGCUGAAGCGCGAAAGCGUGGGUAGCAAACAGGAUUAGAUACCCGGGUAGUCCCUGUCUCUUAUACA